GGGCCCGCACAAGCGGUGGAGUAUGUGGUUUAAUUCGACGCAACGCGAAGAACCUUACCAGGGCUUGACAUUGAGUGAAAGACUAAGAGAUUAGUUCCUAUCUUCGGAUACACGAAAACAGGUGGUGCAUGGCUGUCGUCAGCUCGUGUCGUGAGAUGUUGGGUUAAGUCCCGCAACGAGCGCAACCCUUAUCCUUUGUUGCCAGCGAGUAAUGUCGGGAACUCAAGGGAGACUGCCGUCGACAAGACGGAGGAAGGCGGGGAUGACGUCAAGUCAUCAUGCCCCUUAUGUCCUGGGCUACACACGUACUACAAUGGGCUUAAACAAAGCGAAGCAAGACCGCGAGGUCAAGCAAAACGCAUAAACAAGCUCUCAGUUCGGAUCGGAGGCUGCAACUCGCCUCCGUGAAGUCGGAAUCGCUAGUAAUCGCAGGUCAGCAUACUGCGGUGAAUACGUUCCCGGGCCUUGUACACACCGCCCGUCACACCACGAAAGUUGACAACACCCGAAGCCGGUGGGGUAACCAGCAAUGGAACUAGCCGUCUAAGGUGGGGCCGAUGAUUGGGGUGAAGUCGUAACAAGGUAGCCGUAUCGGAAGGUGCGGCU
rnacentral:rRNA from 1 species